UCAAGGGGACCAAUCCUACCGCCCACUUGUGGGGACCCCAUUUAAAGUCAGAGUUUUUUUUGCUCUGUAUGGACUUAGCCCACCGAAAUCGGCACUAGUGAGAAUCGAACCUGAGACCUUGAGAAAAACAUACUCCAAGGGCCCAAGCCAACACCACUCGACCAACCCCAAGUGGGUUGCAUCAGCUUGCUGUUGUUCUUGUAUAUACUCGCCAAGGAGCGUUACAAUAUUACUGACUCUAUUGAGGUAAAUAAUACUAAACUAUUUGACAAAAAAAAAAAAAGUUGUGCCUUCUGCAUAAGAAGAAUGUCAAGAUAUACGAUGCAGUAAGAUACAAACUUUUCUCAAGGCCAUGUUGUUGGUUAUAAAUCUUGUGUUUAUUUUAUUAUUUAUCCUUUAGUCGCUGUUUGAAAUUGAUUCUGAUUGAUGAGAAGGAAAAGGAACCGAAGGAAAAGCUUGAUUUGGAGAAGGACAGGAAAGAUAGGAAUCUUUUAUUGACUUCUUAAGAUUACCAUGUUUUGCAUUUACAUUUCAAGGGAUAAUGACAAU
rnacentral:lncRNA from 1 species